rnacentral:rRNA from 1 species
UACGGAGGGUGCGAGCGUUGUCCGGAAUCAUUGGGCGUAAAGGGCGCGUAGGUGGCCCGGUCAGUUCGUGGUGAAAGCGCGGGGCUCAACCCUGCGUCGGCCAUGAAUACUGCCGCGGCUGGAGCACUGUAGAGGCAGGCGGAAUUCCGGGUGUAGCGGUGGAAUGCGUAGAGAUCCGGAAGAACACCGGUGGCGAAGGCGGCCUGCUGGGCGAGUUGCUGACACUGAGGCGCGACGAGCGUGGGGAGCAAACAGG